AGAGUUUGAUCAUGGCUCAGAAUGAACGCUGGCGGCGUGCUUAACACAUGCAAGUCGUACGAGAACUCUUCUGCUUGCAGAAGAUAGUAAAGUGGCGCACGGGUGAGUAACGCGUGGGUAAUCUACCUCCGAAUCGGGGAUAACCCGCCGAAAGGCGAGCUAAUACCGGAUAAUAUCUUUAAAACUUAGGUUUUUAAGAUCAAAGGUGGUCUCUACAUGUAAGCUACUGUUUGGAGAUGAGCCCGCGUACCAUUAGCUUGUUGGUAGGGUAAUGGCCUACCAAGGCCGCGAUGGUUAGCUGGUCUGAGAGGAUGAUCAGCCACACUGGAACUGACACACGGUCCAGACUCCUACGGGAGGCAGCAGUGAGGAAUUUUGCGCAAUGGGGGAAACCCUGACGCAGCAACGCCGCGUGAGUGAUKAAGGCUUUCGGGUCGUAAAGCUCUGUCAAGUGGGAAGAACCUGCUCGAUGCUAAUACCAUCAAGCACUGACGGUACACACUGAAGGAAGCACCGGCUAACUCCGUGCCAGCAGCCGCGGUAAUACGGGGGGUGCAAGCGUUAUUCGGAAUUAUUGGGCGUAAAGGGCGCGUAGGCGGUCUCUAAAGUCAGAUGUGAAAGCCCGGGGCUUAACCCCGGAAGUGCAUUUGAAACGUAGGGACUUGAGUAUGGGAGAGGGAAGUGGAAUUCCUGGUGUAGCGGUGAAAUGCGUAGAUAUCAGGAGGAACACCAGUGGCGAAGGCGACUUCCUGGACCAAUACUGACGCUGAGGCGCGAAGGCGUGGGGAGCAAACAGGAUUAGAUACCCUGGUAGUCCACGCAGUAAACGGUGAACACUAGGUGUAGCGGGUAUUGACCCCUGCUGUGCCGCAGCUAACGCAUUAAGUGUUCCGCCUGGGGAGUACGAUCGCAAGAUUAAAACUCAAAGGAAUUGACGGGGGCCCGCACAGCGGUGG
rnacentral:rRNA from 1 species